rnacentral:lncRNA from 1 species
AUGAAUGCAAAUAAAAUGUGCUCGAAAUAUUUAAAGUAAAAACGGUCUUUAUUAAUAGGAAACCAAUACAACGGAAAGAAAAUUACAAAGGACCCGAGCAUCUAAUCCUCAUGCUCGGAAUCCGAAUCAAUCUUCAACACCUCCGUUGGCUUCCUCUUGGAUUCCACCGUCAUCUGGGACUCCCCUUCGUCAGAGGAAGGGAGGAUAGGGUAGAAAUCCUCAGACUUAAAAGUCUUCAGAAACUCCGCAUAAUCCUCAUCUGUGUCAUCAGAACCAGAUGAGUUUGAGGAAUCUGAAGAAAGAAUGACAGUCUCCACCUUAGCCUCUUUUGCCUUCUUAGAACGAGUAACCCUAGACGUGGACACCUCCACCUUCUUCCCUCUCUGGGGCUUGAAACUCUCGACGGCCAUCUUCUUGGUAUUCUUCCUAUCCAUCGUCAAAAUUGGAAAGCAUAGUGUGAGAAGCAAAGAAGGAAGAAGUGGCUAUUUAUAGGAAACUUGCCGCUCCAGAAGGCCCAGCAUCGUGUUUAACGGCCCAUAAACAUAAAGGCGGCUACCAUUCACUAGGGUUGACCCCUUGGAAAAAGCGCUUUUCCUUUCCAAAGCUUGACUUUGACCAAAGGGAAUAACAGAACCUUAAGGGAAUGGAACACGACAGGCCACUUCGGAGUAACUAUGUUCGACAAACGAAAGAUCUAAAUAACACAAGGUGAAUCGUUCAAAGCUUCAAGUCAUUAUCCUCAUCAGAAGAGCAUAAUAACUUGGGGGGCUCCUGUUCUGGGUCGAGCUCAGAUGCUCGAGCCAGUGACAGUGUCGAACAGGCAACGUCCCGAACUAGUUACCAUGAAGAGCCCGCGAGACGUGCUCGACUCUCCAACGGUCUGAUACUCUUACGUAUUGUAANNNNNNNNNNNNNNNNNNNNNNNNNNNNNNNNNNNNNNNUUACACACAAACUGACUUGAGCGUCGGAGUGCCUGCAGGUACACAACCCCCCUCCGCUUCAACAGGGGUCUCAAAC